rnacentral:lncRNA from 1 species
CAAAAAUAUUUUCCAUAUUUCUUAAUGCCUUAUUUAAUUUUAUUUAAUUUUUAUUUUCGUAUUUAUUUAAUGUUAAUAUUUAAUUUCAAUUGUUUAUUCCAGGCGAUUCAUUUUAAUACACAUUUAACUCUUGAUUUUAUUUUCAUGACUUAGAAUUAUUUUUAGCUUUUUAUUUUUGGGAUGAAGGUUGACCAUUGUCCCAUGGUGAACCUGACCUUUUCUUGGAAUUUUAUUUCCCAUUUUUUUAAUUUAUUCUUG